GUUGCGAUUAUACCUUCAAAAUCACUAAUUGAAUGUUGCUCAAAAUUUGUAUAACCCCAAUUCAAUUUUGGGUAGUUUUGGGUCGCCGAUAUACAGAUGCAAACUAAAACUCGAUUAUUCAUGCUCUGUAUAAAAAGUUUGCUGUUGUUGGAAAGCUUUGAGCGGGGAUGUCAAAAGCGAAAAGUUGUUUGAUUUCACUGCGUUUAUUUAGAUGAUUUCAAUUUUCUAUCAUUUUUACAUUGAUAUCAUCAUGAAUAAUUGGCAAAAGGGAUAUAGUGCGCACAGUUGCUGCAGUUGCUCAUCGGCUUUUAUGGCAUCCGGAAGAGGCGUCUGUUUGAAGCUGGCUAGGAAACGAUUUAUGACAUCCAUAGUUAUUAGAUCCAAAAUAUUUUGAGAGUUCCGUUGAGAAACAGCAUUUAGCAUAUCAUUACGCGGUAGAAAAUUCUCGGAAAAAGAACUUCGAAAUACAACAUUCUUCAGCAUCAACAUCAAAAAGUUCUACUGUGCAAUUUUAUUUCAAGUUGGACUGCUUGGCGCUUUUUCAUUUAUUGACGAAGCAGAUUUCAACAACAUAAAGGGAAAGGGUGGUUACUCUUUGCCCGAAAACUUGCUGGAAGAAAGCUACUUCCUACUUGGUUUUCAAAGUGCACCCAAAGGUGAUUGUUAUUUUCCUUGAAACGAAAAAAACAGGUAAAUUCCACCUUUACUGCGGGACAUCUCCGGAAGUUGCUGUCGUAAUUGGCGUGUGCAGCUUCCGUUAUCUAAAACGCUGGUCAGAGCCACAUAAAGCAAACACAUCGCCUGAGCAGACGUCGACGUUCGGGAUGUCGCUAGAAUGCAUUGGUUCCAAUGCAUUAUUCGAAAAAGCAUGGCUAUAGGUAGUGUACAUUUAUUUAUAUAAGACCAAGAAAGACGGUCUUUAAAAUUAUUGUUUAUUAUGUAAAAUGUCGCCAUGAACAAUAAAUAUCAGAU